GACGAACGCUGGCGGCGUGCUUAACACAUGCAAGUCGAACGGAAAGGCCCUGCUUUUGUGGGGUGCUCGAGUGGCGAACGGGGGAGUAACACGUGAGUAACCUGCCCUUGACUUUGGGAUAACUUCAGGAAACUGGGGCUAAUACCGGAUAGGAGCUCCUGCUGCAUGGUGGGGGUUGGAAAGUUUCGGCGGUUGGGGAUGGACUCGCGGCUUAUCAGCUUGUUGGUGGGGUAGUGGCUUACCAAGGCUUUGACGGGUAGCCGGCCUGAGAGGGUGACCGGCCACAUUGGGACUGCGAUACGGCCCAGACUCCUACGGGAGGCAGCAGUGGGGAAUAUUGCACAAUGGGCGGAAGCCUGAUGCAGCAACGCCGCGUGCGGGAUGACGGCCUUCGGGUUGUAAACCGCUUUCGACUGUGACGAAGCGUGCGUGACGGUAAUGGGUAAAGAAGCACCGGCUAACUACGUG
rnacentral:rRNA from 1 species